AACCAAUACGGGAUUCCCUUAGUAGGGGCGACCGAACAGGGAUGAGCCCAGCGCAGAACCUCCCAGGCCACCCGGCCUGCGGCGGAAUGUUGCGUAAAGGGAAAGGUCGUAGUCAAACCCCACAGCCACGCGAACUCUAAGUCAGCCACGAAUAGGCUAUCCCAACUAACGGCGGGAAAGACUCCACGGAGGGUGUAAGACCCGUGUGGGCGCGUGUCAAAGCUGUGCGGGUUCGGCCUCUUUUCCCUGAGAGUCGCGUUGCUUGAGCAUGCAGCGCUAAGAAGGUCGUAAACUCGAUCUAAGGCUAAAUAUCUCCACAGAACCGAUAGCGAACAAGUACCGUGAGGGAAAGUUGAAAAGCACUCUGGAGAGAGAGUCAAAAGACCGUGAAACCGCUCAGAGUAUAAGCCUAUGGCUACUUGGAAGGCAUAUCGCUAGCGGGGCAUCGCAGUUGCCAGCAAUGGUGAACGGGUGUUACCUUGUCUCUGUUGUGGCUCGUCAGGUAGGGGGGUCGAGUCCACAUCCCGCCGACGUGCGGAGAGUUCUCCGGCGCGUUGGCUUGGCGUGAGACCCUCGUGGUCGAUCGUCGGGUUCUUCACGUUGGGUUCACUUUUAUGCACGGACGUUCAGACUCAGUGACAAGAUGCGAUAAACAGCCCACCACGGCACGUUGUGAGGUCACCCGCAGGCUCGACUUUCGAUCGUGGCUCUUGACGCCGAGCAAGCAUAUGCGUGUCGCUUGUGUUCCUAACCAGCGUGCUCGUUGGACAGUGGAACGACACGCGCUCAACAGUCAGAGUCGGGCGAUGACCGAGUUCUGGUAUGAUCCUCUUGCGACGAGCCGGCUUCUGGCCGAGCUUCCGGUGUUCAGGGCUCCCGCAUGUGCCGCGGGAGACCGCCUCUCUGACGGACUGGUUCUUGUAAAAGUCCUCUCAGUCGAGCGCCGGAACGAGUGGUGUAAAGUCCAAGCCCAUGGGUCACGUCUCGAAACACGGGCCAAGGAGUAUAGCAUGUGUGCAAGUCUAAGGGUCUCACAAAACCCGAAGGCGAAGUGAAAGCAAGUUCGCGGCGGGUGAUCUACGGAGAUCCCGUCAGCUAGAGAGGCCUCUCGGUCUCUCCGGCUUUGGCUGAGUUGAUCCUGCAGCGCUACUAUGCGUACGCUCAGGCGCAAACUCCAGGCUCACGUUUCGCACUGGUCUUCGGACUGUGCUGUGAGCACUGUGGAGCAUGCAUGCUAUGACCCGAAAGAUAGUGAACUAUGCCUGGCGAGGGCGAAGCCCCAGGAAACUGGGGUGGAGGCCCGUAGCCGUUGUGACGUGCAAAUCCAUGGUAUCAGUUGGGCAUAGGGGCGAAAGACCAAUCGA
rnacentral:rRNA from 1 species